UGGGGAAUAUUGCGCAAUGGGGGAAACCCUGACGCAGCAACGCCGCGUGGGUGAUGAAGGCCUUCGGGUCGUAAAGCCCUGUCAGCAGGGAAGAAACUCCGGGAUUCGAAUAGGGUCUCGGAUUGACGGUACCUGCGGAGGAAGCACCGGCUAACUCCGUGCCAGCAGCCGCGGUAAACGGAGGGUGCAAGCGUUGUUCGGAAUUACUGGGCGUAAAGCGCGUGCAGGUGGUUUUCUAAGUUUCGUGUGAAAGCCCACGGCUCAACCGUGGAACGGCACGGAAAACUGGAAGACUUGAAUACGGGAGAAGAGGGCGGAAUUCCCAGUGUAGAGGUGAAAUUCGUAGAUAUUGGGAGGAACACCGGUGGCGAAAGCGGCUCUCUAGACCGAUAUUGACGCUCAUACGCGAGAGCGUGGGUAGCAAACAGGAUUAGAUACCCCAGUAGUCCCUGAGCGGGCUGGCAAGGCGCAU
rnacentral:rRNA from 1 species